AAUUAAUUUAAUUUCGAACCACCUCUUCUCCCAAAUUCAAAAAAAAAAAAAAAACCCACUUUUCCUCUCUAUUUGCUUUCUUUCCCUCCCACACGUCUCGCCUUCAAUUCUCGAUCUCUAUUCCAUUAAUAAAGUAAUUAAAUUUUUAAUCAGCCUCAUUUUUACUCGAUCUGAUACCAUUUCCGAAAAUGGUUGAUUCUGAGAAGCAAAACAAUUUCGCUAUCAAAGGGCUAAGCCUCAUCGACGUUUCGUCCGAAGACGAUUGCCUCAUCAAUUCUCCUCUCUGCGAUCCUAUAAACCCUCAGUCCUCAGAGAAGGGAAGUCAAACCAAAACUGUUAGGUUCGCCAUGGAUCCCGACAACGUAGAAAUCUCAUUAGGCUCCCUUGAAGAAGCUGGAAAGGUAAAGGAACGUCCGGGUUCUUCAGAACAAGACAAGAGAAAAGAUGGAAAGUAUAAUUUACGCAAAAGUUUAGCAUGGGAUAGUGCCUUUUUUACUAGUGCAGGUUUUCUCGAGCCGGAGGAGUUGUCUAGUAUGUUGGGAGGCAAUAAGAAAGGUCAAGUUCAUACAUUGCCUGGGAUUCAAGAGGAUGUAAACAAAUCUUACGAUUCAUUAACAACGUUGGAUAGUGAAACUCUGACAUUGGAAAGUCUUGAGGCUGAUUUAUUUGAGGAUAUAAGAGCUUCAAUCCAGAAAUCUAACAAAGCGUCCAACACUGCAAAUUCUAGUGGCAAAAAGGAGUUGAAAACAACAGAUACUCAAACUGUGUCAUCUUUAAAGGUAGAAUUUACUGCUCAAGAUAAGAUGAGGCAGAAAGCUGCUCCAAAGAAGCCUAACAUUGGUGUGAAAGACUCUGGGAGAACAUUGAAGCAGGUUCCUGUCCGUCCACAAAUUUCACAGGUACGAUCAUCAGGACGCACUCCAAAUGGGAGUAUGCUGUAUCAUCCUGGUGUACCUAGUGGCUUGCCUAAAAUUGGAGCAAAAAGCACUAGUCCAAGUGGAAUCUCAAACAAGGUAAAGAAUGGAAAGCUUGAACCUGUUAGAACUCUUACUGCAAUCCAGAGCCCCGAGGUUGAUGUUAAGAAAACUUCCUCUGCUGUAAAAUCUAGAUCUUCCUUAACUAUUAAAAAAUCUCCAAAUGCUGCAAUAAAGGUACCAAGUGCUUCAAGACACCGCAAAAGCAAUCCUGGCAUAUCUCCAAAACUUCAGAAUAAAUCCUCUCCUAGAACUGGUAGAGAAAGUUACUCAAGGGCUCAGGGCAUUGGUUCUGCAGGAAAAAUUGUAGGCCCUGGUUUUCCAGAGCAAGUAGUGCGCCUGGGAGGCAUGGAUGUUGCUCGCAUAAAGGAUACCAAGAUCGUUCCUCUUGAUGGAGUACCUGAAACUACGGCUAAUUUAGCUUCCAAGUCUGAUGUUCAAAACACAAAUGCAUCAAAAGAAGCAGCUGAAAAUGAGACAUACAGCAGCAACUAGAAGUAAGAAGCUCCUGUUGAAGACCAAAUUGCUGGUUUAGUCAGAAACAGUGGCGCUGUGAAGUGGAUAUGAAUUCAGACACUCGGAAAGAACCCAUUACUGAUUCUCAUCUUGGUCAUGGCCACGAGGAGUUUGAGAACAGUUUGUCAGUCAAAUCCCACUGGCACCUCUCCAUCCCUAAUGGCUUCUGAAGUUACUUGUGGCUCAAGAUACGUUUCUCAGUCAAGGAUUCUUUUUACUACAUGAAUGCACCGCUUGAGGUUUUAUCAGGUCUAGCAGUGGCGUUAGACAAAACAACCAUGGUACCGAUUCCAGAGAGCACCUUACCAGAGAACAGCUAAGUGCAACAGUGUAGUUUCAGAUUUUUUAAGGUAGUGCCUUAUGGAACGCUUCUCAUAGAUUUCCAGGGCUGAACUUUAAGUCUUAGAUUGGAUUUGCCUCAGCUCAUAAUACCUUUUGUGUCCAAACAAGUUUAUCAGAGCAAGCUUUACAAGAAAAAGUUUUGGUCUAACGAAUAUAGAUGGUGCCACCAUCACGAAAAUGUACUACAAACAAAUCUGUAUUCAUAAUACAAUUUUAUGCCCAGUCUGCAUUUAUGAUUAUAUAUUUUGUGCCCAACAAAUCUGCAUUCAUGAAUCGUGUAUGCAAUUUUUUACCAAGCUUGUAAUGGAAAUUCUUGUACUUGUUCUUGGAAUCUUUGCAAAAUUACUUGUUUUUAGUUCACCCAAUGAAAACUGUAUAUUACCAACAAGAAAAUAUUUUCAUAGAUCCCGUUGAUUGUCAUUGGACAAAUGCAAAUCAGAGCAAAUUCUCAGCACAGGUUAAGACCACCACGCAUAUCUCAAUUCCCAUAAUACAUUU